rnacentral:antisense_RNA from 1 species
CUUGACGGAGCCGAUCCACAGCGGCCGUUCGGCGUCGCGGUCCCGGCCGUAGGUGGCGAGGAGCGCCUGGGCCUC